GAUGUUGGGCCCGCCCUCUUGGGUAGAUGGUGUUGCGGUCGUAGACUGUGCCCAGAGUUAUUCUAGCGGCAGCAUCUCCUUUGCCUCCGACUCUUUCUAAGGCUGCAGGCCUGAAAAACCCUGUCGCUCCUUCCGGAGGACACCGAGCGAGCGCCCUAAGGAGAGACUAAAGCCCUCUCUUCAAUCCCGUGCUGUCUUCUGCAGAGCGGGAAGCCGUGGCUCCUCCAUUCCUUUCUGGCUUCAGGCGUCGGUUUCCCCAAAUUGGUGGUAUUCCCAGGAAAUAAAGAGAAACUGCCAACGCUAGGCGCGGGAUGCUGCGCGAGAAACGAAAAAAUGAGUCGGUCUCUCAGGAGCUUCGGCCCAGGAAUAGAACAUUGACGAAGACAGUUUCAUAGUUUUCAACUUGAUGCAAGCUAGAGUCAUCUGGGAGGAGGAAAUCUCAGGUGAGGAAAUACCUGCAUCAAUAGACCUGGCUCUUAGGGAAGUCUAUAGGACACUUUUUGAAAUAAUGAUGUGGAUGGACUCAGCCUACUCUUAGUGAUGCUACCCUAGGAAAAGGGGGCCUGAAGGUAAGAGGAACAACUAAGUAAGCAGUAUUCUUCCAUGGUCUCUGCUUCCGGUCCUCCCUUCAAGUUCCUGCCUUGAGGUUUUACACUGAUUUACCCUGACUAGCCAGCAAGGCCAUCCGCCUGUCUCAGUCUCCCAGCUCUGGAGUUACAGACAUGCACUAUCAUGUCUGGCUUUUUACGUAUGAAUAUGCAGCACCGCAUUAUACCCUGGGCAGAUGAUGGACUUGUGCUCUAUAAUCACUAUCUGUCAAAAUAAAAACAAAAGAAAAGCCUCAGAACUAUCUUCAAUGCUCUAAAGGUAAUAUCCCAAGCAGUAACAGUCCUCACUUUCUUUUACUCUACUUCUACCUUGUUAUUUUGUUGCUAGGAUACUUCAAGUUGUCCAACCUCAGCUCUACGAUACCCAGUGCCCUGUAUGGAAACGGGCAAGGGCCUGGUAGAUGUCAGUUCACCAGGCAGACUAGGAAGCCGACACUGUGCAUUACCCAUGGAACACAGGAGCACAUUACCUAGACGUGAGCUUCCCAUAGCUUAACCAUUUCUCAAUACUCAAGGCAGUCAGUAAACAACAGAAUGUAUUUGGCAUUAAAAAAAACAACAAAAGCUUAAGUCAUACUUUUUUGGGGGAAGGAUUUAGAUUUAUUUGAGUUUAUGUGUCUUGAGUCAUAGUCUUGCCUACAUUGUUUUGUCUGUGCACCACCUGCAAACCUGGUACAUAAGAAAGUCAGAAAAGGGUGCUGGAACCAAUGGAAUUGGAAUUAUAGGUAGUUCUAACCUGCAGGUACUUGGAACUGCUGUGAGAGCAGCAAGUCUCUUAACCACUGAGAGAUCGCUCUAGCUCCGGUUUAUUUAACAGUACUCAAAAAGUUCUGUUAAUGGUACCAGUCAUUUGUUCUUACUCUCCCAAGAUGGUCAGGUUAAAUAUAAGCAGACCCAAGUCUAAAACCUUUACAAAGUAAACAUUACUUAAAUUUUACCAACAAACCAAAAAUAAAAUGAAAUUUACAAGAAAAUACUACCUGGUAAUUAAAAAAAAAAAGAUGUAUUUAUUUAUUAUUAUAUUUAAGUAUACUGUAGCUGUCUUCAGACAAUCCAGAAGAGCUCGUUACAGAUGACUGUGAGCCAUCAUGUGGUUGCUGAGGUUUGAACUCAGGACGACCUUCAGGAGCAGCCGGUGCUCUUAACCGCUGAAUCAUCUCUCCAGCCCCUACCUGGUAAAUUUUUACAGCAUCUUGGAACUGUGAGAUACUAUAGUUGUAAUGUACAAAUGAGUCCCUCUGAUACAGGUCAUGUGGCAUGUCACAAAUACUCAGGACAAAGGCACUGAAAUUAAGUUUUAACAACCAUGAAGAUGAUCUUUACCUGAGCAUCAAAUGUGCGUCCAGAAUGACAAAGAUUAUUAAGAUCACAAAGGAUGAAUCCUGGAAGAAUCUCUUCCUCUUCAAUUCCUUUCAGUCUGAUUUUGAGGUUUUCACCUGGAGCUACAGAGUCCGUUUCUACAUCAUCAGAAAGUAUUCCAAGAACUUCCACGUUGUGCUUAAAAAGAAACCAAAGUUGGAAGUUUUCUGACACAUGCACAUUUUAUAAGAUAUAAAAUUACCUUGAUGCUUAUUAAGAAGCUACAAAUCUAAAAGUCAAAAUAAAGAUAAAAUAUUUUAGCCAGAAAUAAACUUUUGAGGAAAAGAAAGGGGGUCAAUCUUGGCUUGUCAGACAAGCACUCUGCCGCCUGCUGCGGUUGCAGAUGUCACAAUUUGUUGUUUUUAAACAACACAUUCUAACAACUUCUAAGUAGAAUACAGAACAAACUUCAUUUUCAGAAUGAAACCAUUGUAAUGAUUAGUACUGUCAACCUGACAAGAUCUAGAAUCACUAAGAGGUAAAUGCCCAGGUGCACCUGUGAGGGUCAGUCCCUGGGCACGCUUGCACACAAUUCCCUUAAGCUAACUGAUGUGGGAAGAAUCCGCUUUACUGUGGCCGAGGUCAUUCUGAGCUGGGAGAAAGUGAGCGGAGCGCUAGUGUUUAUCCUCCUCUGUUCACAAAUGCAUUGUGAUAGAUCAGUGCCUUCGAACUUCUGUGGCUUUGACUUUCCUGCCUUGAUGGACUGUACCCUUUAACUAAGAAGAGCUGAAAUAAAGCCUUGGUCCUUUGAGUUGCUUCGCUCAGCUCCCCAAAACUAUUGAUUUUAAGCAUGAGUGUUUUACCCACAUGUGUGCCUGGUGCCUGAAAGGUCAGAAGUGGUAACAUCAGAUGCCCUGGAACUGGAGAGAUGUUUCACUGGGAGCCACUGUGUCACUGUUGGGAAAUGAACCCAGGUCGUCAGCAAGAGCAAGAAAGAGCUCCUUAACCACUAAACCAUCUCUCCAGCCUCAUUGCUUUGGUUUUAGAAAAUUACUUUCAUUUAUAUAUAGGUGUGUGCUCAUCUCUGUGUGAAGAGUGCCGUGUAUUGCAUGAAUCAAGUUCCCUUUAAGAGCUGAGUCACCUCUCCAGCCUCUUCCUUGAGUUGUUUCUCUCAGAGUAUUUUAUCAACCACAGGAAACUAAGACAAACAUCAAAUUUAAUAACUGGAUUUUUAACUCUCUUAAAUUUAAAUUUCAGAAUUCAAGAAUUUUUCCCCCACAGCAGGUCAAUCCUCAAUUAAGGAGGUAUUUACCUAGAAAGCAUUAAAAACAUCAAUUUGUUUCUUGGUAUAAUUUUAUAAUACAUCAAAUAAAAAUCAUCAAAUCUAGCUUUAAACCCAUUA
rnacentral:lncRNA from 1 species